rnacentral:pre_miRNA from 1 species
CGCACUUUUGGGCUUCCAUAUCUUUCCCAGCUCCUCUCAUUUACUAUGGAUGCUGGCAAGAAAUGGCAGUCUAGAUGUGCA